rnacentral:rRNA from 1 species
GACGAACGCUGGCGGCGUGCUUUACACAUGCAAGUCGAACGGUGAAGGGGAGCUUGCUCCCCGGAUCAGUGGCGAACGGGUGAGUAACACGUGGGCAACCUGCCCCAGACUUCGGGAUAACGCUUCGAAAGAGGUGUUAAUACCGGAUACGAACUCCUUGGGCAUCCUGGGAGUUGGAAAGUUUUUCGGUCUGGGAUGGGCCCGCGGCCUAUCAGCUUGUUGGUGAGGUAACGGCUCACCAAGGCGACGACGGGUAGCCGGCCUGAGAGGGCGACCGGCCACACUGGGACUGAGACACGGCCCAGACUCCUACGGGAGGCAGCAGUGGGGAAUAUUGCGCAAUGGGCGAAAGCCUGACGCAGCAACGCCGCGUGAGGGAUGACGGCCUUCGGGUUGUAAACCUCUUUCAGCAGGGAAGAAGCGAAAGUGAUGGUACCUGCAGAAGAAGCACCGGCUAACUACGUGCCAGCCGCCGCCGUAA